ACGCGUUUGUAGCGCGAGUUGAACCAAGUUGAACUCUGUCCUCGAUUGUCGCGAAGCUGAUCAAUUUUUGCACCGGAAAGGUGUUCGAUCAAGACACGCGCGACGCUGGAACAUGACGCAGUCGAUAAGAUAAAAAAAACUCUAGAAAAAGUUAUAUUAUUUGACUUUUUCCAAAAUAAUGGACAACCAAGAGGCACAGAGUAUUAACUCUGACGUAUUUAUGUAUAUAAUUUAUAACCAUUUAAUUUUAAACAUGUAUCUAUCUUGCGUUUAAUUUGUUUUAACAACUGUUAUUGCGACUGAAGAAGGCUCCAUUGGAGACCGAAACGU